CCGAGUUUACAACUCCCAAACCCCUGUGAACAUACCAAUCGUUGCCUCGGCGGAUCAGCCCCGCUCCCGGUAACCGGACCAGGCCCGCAUGAGGACCCCCUAAACUCCUGAUUCCUACGUGUAAUCUUCUGAGUAACACAUCAAAUAAAUCA
rnacentral:misc_RNA from 1 species